rnacentral:misc_RNA from 1 species
ACGGGAAAGCAGGCUCGACUUCGCAGCUCAAGUCGCUUCGUCUGUCACAUCUUCUGUCGAGCUCUGUGCCAAGCUCUAGCAUUCGCUAAUAUUCUAUUUUAGCAUGGCAUAGCAUAGCAUCACGUGUUUGUGGGCGUGUGCGGAUCACCAUCAUCGCCAUGACGCGGUGGAACCAGAGGAUGGCCAAGAUGGCCUUCCGGCGCUCCAAAUUCCGUCGCUUAGCCUGGGGGGACGGUGACCCGUACCCCUACACCCCGCGCGCCACCUUCCGCUAUCAGUGGGACGACUGGCCAAUGUGGGAGAAGAUGUGGCACCUCGCUGUCGGUGUGCUGGGCAUCGAGUUCGCUGUGUGGGCCUACUACUCGAAGUUGAACAGCCGCAUGGACUGGGCACGCGAGGAGGCGCUGCGCCGCAUGCGUCUGCGCCGUGAGGCCCAAGAGCUGAUGAUCCUCGAGGGCGAGACCUUCUCGAGCGACAUCCAGCCGGACCGCCGCUGACGCUGCCCACCCCGCGCGCGUCUCGGGGGAGGGGGAUCGCAGCUGUGGGCUUUUUUCCUGAUGCCUGCUUGAUGUGCCUCCCCGCAUAUAGUUAUCCUCUACGACCUGGCAGAAGGCUGUUGACAUCUCUGCGGAUGUUGCACGUACGCCUCCGCGGAUAUCCGCAGCAAGAGACCGGCUGCUCUUUUGUUUUUAAUUUUGGAGGAAGGGGUGUUGUGACGCUGUCGCGCACACCUGUCGACCCCGCGCACCUGCGGCCGCAUGCACUACGUAUGGACAUGUUCUUGCGAACAAGUGGCGCCCGUGGAAUGACCAAGGCAUCCGCCUUGGCGAUUUUAUGGGCUUGCAUGGCGCGCGCGCGAGUGUGCCACGGCUGGAAUCGCCGUUGCUGCCCUGACUAUCACACCUUUCCCUUCGCUCUCUAUCCUUUGUUUGUACCUUCGAAG